rnacentral:rRNA from 1 species
CACGUAGGGCGCAAGCGUUGUCCGGAAUUAUUGGGCGUAAAGAGCUCGUAGGCGGUCUGUUACGUCUGCUGUGAAACCCGGGGCUUAACCCUGGGCUUGCAGUGGAUACGGGCAGACUAGAGGCAGGUAGGGAGAAUGGAAUUCCGGUGUAGCGGUGAAAUGCGCAGAUAUCGAGAGGAACACCUGCGGCGAAGGCGGUGCUGGCUGACACUGACGCUGAGGCGCGAAGCCAGGGAGCGAAC